rnacentral:rRNA from 1 species
GAUGAACGCUGGCGGCGUGCCUAAUACAUGCAAGUAGAACGCUGAAGGAGGAGCUUGCUCUUCUGGAUGAGUUGCGAACGGGUGAGUAACGCGUAGGUAACCUGCCUGGUAGCGGGGGAUAACUAUUGGAAACGAUAGCUAAUACCGCAUAACAACAGUUAUUGCAUGAUAACUGUUUAAAAGGGGCAACUGCUCCACUACCAGAUGGACCUGCGUUGUAUUAGCUAGUUGGUGAGGUAACGGCUCACCAAGGCGACGAUACAUAGCCGACCUGAGAGGGUGAUCGGCCACACUGGGACUGAGACACGGCCCAGACUCCUACGGGAGGCAGCAGUAGGGAAUCUUCGGCAAUGGACGGAAGUCUGACCGAGCAACGCCGCGUGAGUGAAGAAGGUUUUCGGAUCGUAAAGCUCUGUUGUAAGAGAAGAACGAGUGUGAGAGUGGAAAGUUCACACUGUGACGGUAUCUUACCAGAAAGGGACGGCUAACUACGU